ACGAAUCCUCUCUGGAUCUUGACGAAGAAGUGGCUAGAGUUACCUUUGAGACUGUCAUCAAAGUGGAGAAAGAAAAAAAGAAACUUUUUCUACUCCCUUCGAGACUGUCACUGUAUGGAAGGCUGUCACAAAACAUGUUAACCAGGAAACAAGUGAUGUAAACCAACUUCUGAAACUCAGUGAUGUCUGUUUAAUGUUCGUGUCAACUGCCCACCGAGGACCACCCAGUCAAUGAACCACCAACCUAAUUGCAACCUGCUGCAGCCAGCACUGAGAACAUGGUACGGCAGUUGCAGACCCACAAGAGCUCCUGGCCGUUCCUCAAGUCUGUGGCUGUAACGGAAGUCCACAACUUCUAUAAGAUCAUCAAGAUUAUAAAGAGUUGAUAACUGCGACUUGGUUCAAAACCUAUAGCCUUCUGUUGCUUAAGUUGGCGUGAUGAAGUACCAGUGGUGAAGUCAGAAAUGGAAACAGACCUAUUCCAAUCCCCAGCAACGUCAACCUGCAGAAGGAAAGGCCAGUUUGCAUGGCCUUCACAUUCGAAGGUCACGGAGAUCAUUACGUAAAACGUGUCAUGCAGUGGUGUAGAGGUUGGGUGAUAAGGGGGCGUGUUUCAUCAUUAUCAAGCAGGUACAAUACCCGCAAGGCUUAAGAGGUUAGGAUGCGAAAAAAAUCGUACAAAAGGAGAGAGAAAAGGCGAUGCAAAUCAGUCGAGUGAGAAUCUCCGACACGGCAACAACCGCUGCCCACUAUUUGUCACCAACUUCCUUUUUCAUCGUAUUGAACCAGUUCAAGCAUAGUUAACUAUGGCUUUGUACUGCUGUUGGUUGUUGUAUCGUUGAUAACUGGGUCGACCACGAGUGUACCGAUGUCUGGGUAUGGUGGAUUCCAAGCAACAGCAGCGAAAGAAUAGUACACCACGUUGCAGCCUUGAAACACAACAACGUCAACAUGCGUAAUACCUACUUACUACACCAUCAAGGCUCCAAGACUACACGAAAACUUACGCUUCCCUGAGCUACUACACGGAAGUAUUUCUCUGCCCCGAGUUACACAGAGUUACAUCAUCAAAGCGGCUGAGUACUACCCAGAGGCUCCCAAUUACUAUUGUCGUCAUAGCUACUACACCGAGGCUGCAGUUUGUUACACCACCAAGGCGGUUGAGUACCACACAGAAGCGUCUAAGUACUACACUGAAACCUACUGCCGCGCACUAUUUGUCACCAACUGCCUUCUUGCCAUCGUAUUGAUCCAGUUCUCAAUAAUGGCUAACUAUGGCUUUGUGCUGCUUUUUGGUUUUGCAUCGUUGAUGGCUGUGUCCAACAUUGGUGUACCGAUGUCUCGUGGGUAUCGCGGAUAGCAAACCGCAACGCCGCUGCCUUACUACACAACAACAACAACAACAACAUACGCAACAGUCGGUUACUACACCACCAAGUCUUCAGAGUAUUACACCGAAACUUAUGAUGCCCCGAGCUACUACAUCGAGCUCCGAUAUAUAAGUCUGCCCUGAGCUACAUUACCAAAGAGCCGGAGUACUACCCCAAAGCGCCCAAAUACUACAUUAAAACCUACGCUGCUCCUAGCUACUACACCGACGCCCCGAAGUAUUACUCUGCGUAUAAGGAGUCGUCUAAUAAAAAAGUCGUAUUAAAGGAAAGAGAAAAGGAAGUAGAAAUCAGUCGAGUGAGGAUCUCCGACACGUCAACAACUGCAGUGUACUGUCUGUCACCAACUGCAUUCCUCAUCGUGUAACCAAAUCGCAAUCAUGGCAGGUACAAUUACCGCACUGCUCGAGUUGAAAGGUUAAUCAGUAGAAGGAAAAACUUUAAAACGAAAGAGAAAUGUCGAUAGAAGUCAAUGAGCAUCUCCGAUAUGCAACAACCAGUUCGCAAUUAUGGUUAACCAUAGCGUCUGCCCCGAGCUACACCACCAAGGUACCGGAGUACUACACGAAUACGUAUGCUGCCCCAACCUACUACACCGAGGCUGCCAAGUGCAACUCUGUCCUCAGCUACUUACUGCACCAAUCCUAAGUACUACUUUGUUCCCAUCUACUACACCGAAGCUCUAGCUUAUUACAUCCCCGAAGCGGUCUACUAUUACACCGAAGCGCCUAAGUACUACACUGCAACCUACGCUGCACCACGGAGCCAUCGGAAUACUAAAUCAUAACCUAGCCUACUACACCGCCCCGAUCUACACAACCACAUCUGAGCCGGACAUAUUUUUAUACAGCGCCUUCAAUUUUCUAGUAAGGUGGCAGUGUCUUAUGUUAAGGGUUUUGAAUUGGAAUUGGAAAAAUCCCAAAAGUGUUCUGUUCAGUACUGGUUCUGUUGCAGCCGAUGCCGAUAUGAAAGAAAUUUUGUAUUUUGUUAACUUGAUAUUAUGUACAGUUUAAAAAAGUUAA